rnacentral:rRNA from 1 species
GGUGAGUAAUGUCUGGGAAACUGCCUGAUGGAGGGGGAUAACUACUGGAAACGGUAGCUAAUACCGCAUAACGUCGCAAGACCAAAGAGGGGGACCUUCGGGCCUCUUGCCAUCGGAUGUGCCCAGAUGGGAUUAGCUAGUAGGUGGGGUAACGGCUCACCUAGGCGACGAUCCCUAGCUGGUCUGAGAGGAUGACCAGCCACACUGGAACUGAGACACGGUCCAGACUCCUACGGGAGGCAGCAGUGGGGAAUAUUGCACAAUGGGCGCAAGCCUGAUGCAGCCAUGCCGCGUGUAUGAAGAAGGCCUUCGGGUUGUAAAGUACUUUCAGCGGGGAGGAAGGGAGUAAAGUUAAUACCUUUGCUCAUUGACGUUACCCGCAGAAGAAGCACCGGCUAACUCCGUGCCAGCAGCCGCGGUAAUACGGAGGGUGCAAGCGUUAAUCGGAAUUACUGGGCGUAAAGCGCACGCAGG